AAACUAACAAGGAUUCCCCUAGUAACGGCGAGCGAAGCGGGAAGAGCUCAAAUUUGAAAUCUGGUGGCCUCAGGUCAUCCGAGUUGUAAUCUAUAGAAGUGUUUUCCGUGCUGGCCCAUGUACAAGUCCCUUGGAACAGGGCGUCAUAGAGGGUGAGAAUCCCGUCCUUGACAUGGACUACCAGUGCUCUGUGAUACACUUUCAACGAGUCGAGUUGUUUGGGAAUGCAGCUCAAAAUGGGUGGUAAAUUCCAUCUAAAGCUAAAUAUUGGCGAGAGACCGAUAGCGAACAAGUACCGUGAGGGAAAGAUGAAAAGCACUUUGGAAAGAGAGUUAAACAGUAUGUGAAAUUGUUGAAAGGGAAACGAUUGAAGUCAGUCGUGCUCAAUGGACUCAGCCGUUCUGCGGUGUAUUUCCAUUGGGUGGGGUCAACAUCAGUUUUGAUCGCUGGAUAAAGGCAGGAGGAAUGUAGCACCCCCGGGUGAACUUAUAGCCUCUUGUCACAUACAGUGGUUGGGACUGAGGAACGCAGCAUGCCUUUAUGGCCGGGAUUCGUCCA
rnacentral:rRNA from 1 species